GGGGCUGUAGCUCAGCUGGCUAGAGCGCUUCCAUGGCAUGGAAGAGGUCAGGGGUUCAAUUCCCCUCAGCUCCA
rnacentral:tRNA from 1 species